rnacentral:lncRNA from 10 species
CUUGUGAAGAAGGUGCCUUGCUUUCUUUUUGCCUUCUGCCAUAAUCGUAAGUUUCCUGAGACCUAUCCAGCCAUGCUGAACGAUGGAUUCUUUCAUGGUGAACACCCAAGAGCAACAGGCAGAAGAUGUACUGUGUUUGAUGACCUAGCUUUAGGAGACACAUUACCUCACUUCAACCAAACACUUGUGUGUGAAGAAGUCAGAACCCCACCUAAAUUCAAGCUUAGCGGACAUAGACACUAGUCAAUUGGAGAAGUGUCGAAAAAUCAGCUGCAUUAAAAAAAAUCACCUUGGGCUGGGCACAGUGGCUCACACCUGUAAUUUCAGCACUUUGGGAGGCUGAGGCAUGUGGAUCAUUUGAGCCUAGGAGUUUGAGAUCAGCCUGAGCAACAUGGUGAGACUCCCUCUCUAAAUAAAAUAAAAUAAAAAUAAAAAAAUCACCUUAUCAAAACUAGGAAAAGCUGUAUGCACACUAAGGACAAAUCUCCUUAGUAGCAUGAAUUACUGCAAUAACUUAACCAAGUUGUCUGAUAUGAUUUUCAUGGUGCUUUAUUGAACACCUAUUUUAAUAGAUUUAUGGAGCUACCGGUUACUAGAGGAGAUAUCCCUGGCUUAUGCAAAUUUCAUUCCGCAGCAAAAUACCAAGACUUCUUGGAGAGACUUUUAAUCACUUUAACUUAAGCUCCAAUAUUAGUUGAACUAUAUAAACAGAUGGUCAGAAUGAUCUUCCCAAUAUUUAGAAAGAAAUACAUUUUAGUCCCAGGAAACCCUAAUUCAAUAGAACCAUGUGAAAUGCCACAAAUACUUAGUGAACAAGUUAGAAAAAUGGAAAAUAAAAAUAAAGAAAAAAGCCCAUUUAUCCUGACCAAUCAAUUUAAUUAGACCACAAUAGUCAACAAAAUCUAGCCCAACCCUCUAGAUUUGGUCAUAUGUUCACUGUUAAAUCAACCCCUUGUCCAAAGAAAUAUAAUGCAGUGACUGGUCUAAUCUAGGUACAUAUCUACCCCUCUAGGCUGGAAAGCCAUUAGUUUCCCUCUUAAGCAAGCAGAUACAUAGAUGAAAAUUAGCAGUCAUUGGGAUGUGACAAAUAGACGCAAGUAGAGUCACCUUCAAGUGUCCAUGAUAGGAGAAGGUGUAUUCCAGGCAGAGAAACAGCUUAUGUAAAGUUCUGCAAGAUCAUUGAUCAUUUGGGGGAAAAUGGCAAGGAAGUGUUAUGACUGGAGUAAAUAAUAUCUAACAUCCUUGGCCACUGAAAUCACAGGAACCAGACUAUAAUUAUGUCACACUAAAAGGAGAUUACCUAAUUGUUUCAUUAACAACACAUUUUCAAAAUAAACCAGAGACCUGUAUUCUUAUGGAACUGAGAUAGGAGAAAUCUCAUAAAUAUUCUCUGGAAAAAUAUAGAGAAUGAGAGGGUACAAUACAACGUAUUAUAUAAAGGCUUAACUCUUAAAAACCUUAUUUAUGUUAUCUAAGAUCUUAGUAACUCAGCUUCAAGCUAACGUUGACUACCCUCAAUUAUAGACUCUAUUCAUGGGUCCAUGAACCUGACACUUGAAAGCUUCCCUUGAAAAUUACCUGUCAAAAAUAUGCUUUAUCCAAGUGAAAACUAGGUUUAUAAAUACUUCAGCCUGUUUUUAACUCUGUCUCUUUAGACUAAUAUGUCCUUUUCUGAGCAGACAUCAUUUAGGGUGACCUUUUCAAAAUAGAGUCAAGGGUUCAGGAAUCACACUGGCUUUGCACCUUGCUGCUUACAAAGUGUGUUUGGGAAUGUUGUUGUAUUGAUUACUUACAACAACCCUGUAAUUGAGGUAUACUGAUACCCCUUUUACAGAAGGAUAAACUGAGGCUCAGGAAGGUCAGUAAUUUUCUCAAAGAUACACAGAUGGUCAGUGACAUAUGAGGAUCAAGGUCACAUUUCCUACCCCAAGUCCAGCACUCCUUUGGCAGGUGCUGUUUCCUGUCAUCAGUAAAGCAGAUGUUAGCCAGGCAUGGUUGCUUACACUUGUAGUCCUCAGCACUUUGGGAGGCCGAGGCAGGUGGACUGCUUGAGACCAGGGGUUCGAGACCAGCCUGGGCAACAUGGCAAACCCCAUCUCUACAAAACAUAGAAAAAUUAGCUGGGUGUGGCAGUGCAUGACUGUGGUCCCAGCUACUUGGGAGGCUGGGGCAGGAGGAUCACUUGAGCCUAGGAGGCAGAUGUUGCAGUGAGCUGAGAUUGUGCCACUGUACUCCAGCCUGGGUGACAGAGUGAGACUCUGUCUCAAAAAAUAAAGCAGACAUCACUAGAGCUUCUCAUUUAUCAAAGUACAAUUUGAAUCACAGAACCCACAUCAUAUAUUAAGCUACUCUAUGUAACUGGAAUUAUGGCAAUAGUUUGUCUAUACCUAGAAUACUAGAAUAAUAAAAAAUACACAUUACCUAUUUUUAUUGUAUAAUUGACCCUUGAACAAUUCAUGAGUCACCAGUGCUGACCCCCAGGACAGUCAAAAAUCCAUGUAUAAUUUUUGACUCCCCAAAAACUUUACUAAUAGCAUACAGUUGACCAGAAGCCUAACAAUAACAUAGUCGAUUAACACCUAUUUUGCACAGUAUAUGUAUUAUAUAUGGUAUUCUCAUAAUAAAGGAAGCUAGGGAAAAGAGACUGUUGUAAGAUAAUCAUAAGGAGACUUCACAGCCUUUAGAACUGUAAGAAAUAAAGCUCUGUUCUUUAAAAAUUAAAUAAAAAGAAAAUUAUAAGGAAGAUAAAAUACAUUUACAGUAUUGUGCCAUACUUUUUGAUACAAUAUGUUUAUGCAAUCUGUUUAUAAGAUGAAUUGUCUGUCUGAAAUAGUGGGCAACCACAGUUGUAGACCUCCAUCUAUGACACAUAUCAAGAAAUUCAACUUUUUCUUGUAAUGUUAUGACUUUUCUCUACUUUUUGCAACCACUUCCAGCAUCACUAGUGGCACUUUAUAUGAGUCCCAUGCUGUUAGUGAAGGUUUACAGUACUGAAUUAAAUACAAUGAAAAAUCUAAGAGAGAUCAUUUUUUACUGUGCUUUGCAAUUUGCUGGAGAGAUGAACUGCUCACACAGAGAUGAUUGGCAUCACACGGCUUUUUAAGAGGCUACUUGCCACACUUGAGCUAUUUCAAUAACAACAGGAGGUGAACACAAAAUUGUUAUGGUAGCACAAUAAAUACUACGGUUAUUUUUAUGCGGUUAUGAUUCAAUACUGCAUCUUUAUGUUUGUUUACAUUUUUCUUGAUGGUGAAUGACAUCACGUACAAUCUGUGUGCGUAAGUUUUGAUAAAUUUUUUAUAAUAGGUUUGUGUAUAUUUUAUGCUAACAAAUGAUAUAACAAGCUAGUAUUUAUAUAUAUUUUAUGCAUUCAUAACAUACCUGACUUCUUAAUUGUGUCCAUAUUUCUAGGUUAUGCAGUUUGCACGCUUUUUCAAAUUGUAGCAAAACUCCAAAAUAAAUAUAUUUUCCAAUAUUUUUAUCGCAUGGGUCCCCGUAUAAGCGGACCCAUGCAAUUUGAACCUGUGUUAUUUGAGUCAACUGUAAUUUUUAGUUGAACACUAUAGUUUCAAUAAAGAAAAUUAUCAAAACACAUACAAAAAGCAAAGCAAAACAAAAACCACACAAGUGUGAAUAAAACACUGCAUUGUAUGGAUGGAUCCUACGUUCUUAGCUGUUUGUUCAAGGCUGCCUACAUUUAGACUCCAAGCACUUCU